UGGAUGAGCCAUGGUGGUGGCCCCUCCUGUUUUAUUCCAUUUUCUCAUCAAAAGGAUUUCCUACCAUCAAGCCAACAAGACCCAGAUGUAAUUUCACUGAUGAGCAAGACAUCUCUGCCAACUGAAUUCCUAUUGAUUAGCAUCUGAUUUUGUUUGUCAGCAAAAAGAAAAACGUAUUAUUUAAUGUCACGUUUGGUACAUAACCAGCGGGUUUAAGUGGUGGGAGGGAAGGGUGUGGAUGCAG
rnacentral:lncRNA from 1 species